UGGUUGUAAUGAUUUGUAAGCGUUAGCAGGUCUGUGUGGUCACAGACGGUAUUGCACCAUUCCCCAUGUCUCCUUGGAGAAGCCAGGUGAAGCUAAUUAAGAUUUUUUUAAUUAUGAAAGAAUAUGCACUCACUGUCAGAGACUGUGAAUGGACAGAGGAGGAGAAACCAUGUCAUGGUCUGACCUUACAAGAAACAAAAAUUAUUCUAUAAACAGCUGUCGACACGGAGACUUGAAAAGAAAGGGAGGAAGAGUGGACGUGGACUUCAAAUAACAGGGAGCCAACAACAUUGUGAAGUCAUCCCAUGGUCUAGUGCACCUAUAAAUGACCAGAACUACAGAUAUGGUACUUCUCUAUCUGUUUGUGUGAUGAAGAACCCGUGCACAUAAAAUGUGCCAUUAGUGCAGAAACAGUAUCUAGACGUUGCUGCUACAUUUGUGCGUCUGCAGCUCCUCUGACUCCUUACAGAUGUGUUGAAAUAUCAAAGAAUGCAGAUGAAGUGAUUUAACG